UACGUAGGGUGCAAGCGUUGUCCGGAAUUAUUGGGCGUAAAGAGCUCGUAGGCGGUUUGUCGCGUCUGCUGUGAAAACUCGGGGCUUAACUCCGGGCCUGCAGUGGGUACGGGCAGACUAGAGUGCGGCAGAGGAGACUGGAAUUUACGGUGUAGCGGUGAAAUGCGUAGAUAUCGUAAGGAAGACCAGUGGCGAAGGCGGGUCUCUGGACAGUUCCUGACGCUGAGGCACGAAGGUCAGGGGAGCAAACGGG
rnacentral:rRNA from 1 species